rnacentral:rRNA from 1 species
CCAGGAAUAUUGCGCAAUGGACGAAAGUCUGACGCAGCGACGCCGCGUGGAGGAAGACGGCCUUAGGGUUGUAAACUCCUUUUGCCAAGCCGUUCACAGCUUGGCGAAUAAGCCUCUACUAACUACGUGCCAGAAGUCUCGGUAAUACGUAGGAGGCAAGCGUUAUCCGGAUUUACUGGGCGUAAAGUGUGCGUAGGCUCCCCUUUAAGUCGUGCUUUAAAUACUAAGGCUUACCCUUAGACCUGAGUGCGAUACUAUUGGGGUUGAGGAUUGACAGGGCAACUGGAACAGUGCGUGUAGCAGUGAAAUGCGUUGAUAUGCACUGGAACACCAAGGGCGAAGGCAGGUUGCUGGGUUUUUCCUGACGCUGAGGCACGAAAGCUAGGGUAGCGAAACAGAU